rnacentral:rRNA from 1 species
AUUAGUUUGUUGGUGGGGUAAUGGCCUACCAAGGGCUUGGCGAUAUAUAGCCGGGGCUGGAGAAGGCUGACCCGGCCACAUUGGGACUGAGACACGGCCCAGACUCCUACGGGAGGCAGCAGCUAAGAAUCUUCCGCAAUAGUCGAUAGACUGACGGAGCGACGCCGCGUGAGUGAUGAAGGCCUUUUAGGUUGUAAAACUCUUUUAUAUUGGAAGAAUAUAUAGCUAUUAGACUAUAUUGACUGUACUUUNAUGAAUAAGUGGUCCGGCUAACUACGUGCCAGCAGCCGCGGUAAUACGUAGGGACCGAGCGUUGUUCGGAAUUAUUGGGCGUAAAGGGUAUGUAGGCGGUCUAUUAAGUUAGAUGUGAAAAAUCUGGGCUCACCGAGAUCUUGCGUCUAAUACUGAUAGGCUAGAGUCUCUGAGAGGAAGGCGGAAUUCCUGGUGUAGGGGUGAAAUCUAUAGAUAUCAGGAAGAACACCGGUUGCGAAGGCGGCCUUCUGGCAGAGGACUGACGCUGAGGUACGACAGUUAGGGUAGCAAACAGGAUUAGAGACCCUGGUAGUCCUAACCUGUAAACGUCGUAUACUAGGUGGUUGACGUAUUGAUCCUUUGACUGCCGCAGCAAACGCCUUCAGUAUACCGACUGGGGAGUAUGCCUGGCAACGGUGAAACUCAAAGGAGUUGACGGGGCCCCGCACAAGCAGUGGAGCAUGUUGCUUAAUUCGAUGAUACGCGAGUAACCUUAGCCAGGUCUUGACAUAUACCUGUCUCGCGUUGUAGAAAUACAUCAUGUCGCUUCGGGCACCGGCGUAAGUACCACGGUGCUGCCAUCGGUUGUUCGUCAGCUCGUGCCGUGAGGUGUUGGGUUAAGUCCCGCAACGAGCGCAACCCUUAUUCUUUGUCGCUAACAGGUUAAGCUGAGCACUCUAAGGAGACUGCCGGUGACAAACCGGAGGAAGGUGGGGACGACGUCAAAUCAUCACGGCCCUUAUGACCUGGGCUGCAAACGUGCUACAAUGGGUGGUACAAAGAGUUGCGAGACCGCGAGGUGGAGCUAAUCUCAAAAAACUAUCCUCAGUUCGGAUUGGAGUCUGAAACCCGACUCUAUGAAGUUGGAAUUGCUAGUAAUCGCACAUCAUCAUGGUGCGGUGAAUACGUUCCCGGGGCUUGUACACACCGCCCGUCACAUCAC